UAGGGAAUCUUCGGCAAUGGGGGGAACCCUGACCGAGCAACGCCGCGUGAGUGAAGAAGGUUUUCGGAUCGUAAAGCUCUGUUGUUAAGGAAGAACGAGUGUGAGAAUGGAAAGUUCAUGCUGAGACGGUACUUAACCAGAAAGGGACGGCUAACUACGUGCCAGCAGCCGCGGUAAUACGUAGGUCCCGAGCGUUGUCCGGAUUUAUUGGGCGUAAAGCGAGCGCAGGCGGUUAGAAAAGUCUGAAGUGAAAGGCAGUGGCUCAACCAUUGUAGGCUUUGGAAACUGUUUAACUUGAGUGCAGAAGGGGAGAGUGGAAUUCCAUGUGUAGCGGUGAAAUGCGUAGAUAUAUGGAGGAACACCGGUGGCGAAAGCGGCUCUCUGGUCUGUAACUGACGCUGAGGCUCGAAAGCGUGGGGAGCGAACAGG
rnacentral:rRNA from 2 species